UUUUUUUUUUUUUUUUUUAACAAAUAUUGAUUUAGGGGCAGCCCAAGUGGCUCAGCAGUUUAGCGCCGCCUUCAGCCCAGGGUGUGAUUCUGGAGAUCCAGGAUCGAGUCCCACGUCGGGCUCCCUGCGUGGAGCCUGCUUCUGUCUCUCUCUCUCUCUCUCAUGAAUAAAUAAAUAAAAUAUUUAAACAAACAAACAAACAAACAAAUAUUGAUUGCAAAAAGGAUAAGUAGUAGCGCCUGGGUGGUGCAGUUGGUUAAGCAUCUGAUUGUUGAUUUUGGCUCAGAUUAUGAUCUCAGGGUCGUGAGAUGGAGCCCCACGUGGGCUCUGCACUCAGCACGGAAUCUGCUUGAGAUUCUUUCUCAUUCUCUCUGCCCCUCCUAUUUGUACACUUUCUCUCUCUAAAAUAAAUAAAUAAAUCUUCAAAAAACAAUUUCAAAAAUAAAAAAGUAAAUGAAAUGAACUUCAGGCCAGGUAGGGGCUCUUAGAAACAUUCUCUUAAAAUUUUUUUUUAUUGAAAUACAAUUGGCAUAUAACAUUGUGUAAGUUUAAGGUAUGCAACCUGUUGAUUUAUUUUUUUUUAAAGAUUUUAUUUAUUUAUUCAUAGAGAUGCAGAGAGAGAGAGAGGCAGAGACACAGGCAGAGGGAGAAGCAGGCUCCAUGCAGGGAGCCUGACGUGAGACUCGAUCCUGGGUCUCCAGGAUCACACCCUGGGCCGAAGGCGACACUAAACUGCUGCGCCACCAGGGCUGCCCCAACCUGUUGAUUUAACGCAUUUAUUAUAUGUAUUGCAAUAUGAUUACCACCAUAGCGUUACCUAACACCUAUCUCAUGUCACAUAAUUAUCAUUUCUUUUUUGUGGUGGGAACAAUUAAGAUCUAGUCUCUUAGCCACUUCACAGUUUAUAAUAUAAUAUUAUUCAUAAUAACUAAGCUGUGCAUUAAACCUUAAGAAUUAUUUAUCUACUAGUUGCAAAUUCGUAAAAAGCUUCAGCUUUUAUAACAUUAUAGGCAUAAAUACAAUUUAAAACUAUAUAAACAUGGGACAUUAUUUUCCAUAAAGGUCCCAUAGAAACUACACAAAAAUUUGAUGUUCUAAUACCUUAGGAAUGGAAUGAACAAGUCCCAGAGGAAAUACAGGUGACUAAUAAACAUUUAAGUGUUUAUUCCUACAAGUAAUCAAAGGAAAGCAAGUUAAAACUGCCAUUAAAAGCUGAAAAGGUUAAAUUAAGGCAAGUUUAAAACACUUUAUUAUGAUUUAAGUUAACAAACUUGUUUUUGAUGGAAGUCAUAUGUAGCUGAUAGGAAUGUAAACAGGGAAAAAUUUCUAGAAAGCAACUUGCAAAAUACAUCAGGAGCCUAAAAAUGUUCUAUUCUUUGACCUGGAAAUUUCACUUCUAAGGAGAUUAACAGACUGAUUUCUGUGCAAGGAUGUCCAUAUGUUCACUAUUCAUAACGGCAAAAUAACUUGAAGCAGCUGAAAAUACGCAAAUAAACGAUGAUGCCACCGUGAAAAAAAAAAAAAAGAUAUGCCGUAAGCAUAAAAUGCAUCCUGGGUUUCUUUCUUUCUUUAAAAUAUUUUAUUUAUUUUGACAGAGAGAGUGAGAGAGCACAAGCAGGGGGAGCAACAGAGGAAAAGGUAGAAGUAGACUCCCCACUGAGCAGGGAGCCCGACAUGGGGCUCCAUCCCAGGACCCUGAGAUCAUGACCUGAGCCAAAGGCAGAUACUUAACCGACUAAACACCCAGGUGCCCUGUGUACUGGGUUUCAAAGACUGGGUGGUUCAGUUGGCUGAGCGAUCAAUUCUUGACUUCUGCUCAGGUCAUGAUCUCAAGGUGAGGAGAUCCUCUCCAGACUGAGCUUGGAGACUGCUUAAGAUUCUCUCUCUUUGGGACAUAUAUAUAUUAUAUAUAUAUUGGUUAUAAUAGGUUAAAUAAAUUGGGUUAAAUAACAUGAUUAAAAUGGAUUUCAUCUCUUUUUUAGUGUGGCUACUAGAAAAGUUAAAAUUCCAUAUGCAACUAGCAUUUGUGGCUCACAUUUGUGGGUUGCACUACCUUUCUUUCUUUCUUUCUUUCUUUCUUUCUUUCUUUCUUUCUUUCUUCCUUCCUUUUUCUUUCUUUCUUUCUUUCUUUCUUUCUUUCUUUCU
rnacentral:lncRNA from 1 species